ensembl:lncRNA
AUGUUGUUUAGACUCCACUCCCCCCCUGUUUUGACCUGGUUACUUCCGGGUUUUACAACAUGCACAGAAGGGCCUUUGGUGAUUACACCAGUUCCUCUGCUGAUAUCAACACAGGUUGCUGAAUGGAGAAGAGAAGAGAAGAGAAGAGAAGAGAAGAGAAGAGAAGAGAAAGAAAGAAAGAUUUGUUUGAGUCCUGGUGAGAAGAGAAAGAAAGAAAGAUUUGUUUGAGUCCUGGUCUGUCUAUAUUGGUCAGUGCUGUCAAUCUUGAUACAGAGUUAACUUAAGAUUUGCAGUAUAAAGAUAGAUGUAAGAGACAGAUGGCAGAGUAUGAAGCUUUAUUAGCUGUAUCACAUCUUCCUUCAGGCCAAAUUCCAGACUGCACAUUGCUGAAUUUAUGGCACUCGUAUUUUGGAAGAAGGGGAAGAAACUACUGGGUGAGGCUUCAAAGGAAGCACAGACAGAACAAUGAACUGGACAUGUUGAGCUGCAAAUAAAUGGUCCAGUGGGUAUUUUUUAAAGAAAAAAAAUAGUCAUGAUGGGAAAAAAUUGUCAAAGAAGUGCUUGUGUGAGACAGUGCAGAGAGCUGCCGUGAAUCAUGUGCCUCAUUGCAGAACAGCCUGAAAAGAAAAACAGCAUCAUUGCUAUUGAUUUUUGUUCUCUCCCCAGAUCAGAAGGACUGUGGCAAUGCAAUCUGCUGUUUUUAAAGGGGGGAAAUGUGUCAGCAUAAAAAGGAGGGGAGUACACAUGGGAGCAUCUGUUCUGAGAAACUAUUUGAAAAAUAACCAUGCAAUAAGAUGAGAGAAACAUCUGUGUAGCACACACAAUCCUAGGACUAAUGGACUGGGAGAAAGGGUAAAGAAAUGUGUGAGAGACAGUGGGUGAGUGGGAGAAAAGGGUCAGGAAUGAGCACCCCUCUAAGUGGCAGGCACUUGUCUCAUCCCUUUUCUCAUUACACUUCCAUUUCAGUUUUUAAAAAGAUUGGGAAUAAGGGGAAGAAAGCCUCUGGGUGACACAGACAAGUGCUAGAGGCACGAUGGCACAUUGCCCGUCAGAUGGCAUAACUAACUUUGGAGAAAAGAUUUGGGAGGAUGGUAUUAAUUUUGCUCAAACACAUGGGCACAGAGAAGCCUUGGUAAGAAAUGACUUUCUGCUUCACCCACUAAAUAACUUGCUAGCCAGAGUUGUUGUACAAUGGUUUUUAUCCUGCCAUCCUCAUGCUAAGAAGUAGGCAAGGAAAGAGGCUCAUUGGCUAUUAAAGUAUGAAAAAGUCUCUGUGUCAGUGAUGAAGGAGAUGGGAAAGGGCUGCUGAAAAUCACCAGGGGGAGGGAGGGGAUCUUAUUAUUCAGCAGUACUAUCCCAAGGCGUCAAGUGCUACAGAUUAUUAAGUAUUUCUUUGUAACACUAAGUUCAGUUCAUUAAACUUUUAUAAACAUUAGUGGCUGAAAAGAGCUAGUGCGUUAUCCAGUCAUUCUCUAGACAAGGAAGAUCAAAUAUAACUUGACUGGCAGAUCAAAUGGGGUCUGUAGGCAGGAUACUAGUUUGGGCAAAUACUAUUUUCUUACAGACCUUGUGAAGAUCAUCAUGUCUUCAUAUUCCCCUAAUUGCACAUACACAAAUACAAACUCACAACUGUACAUAAAAGCAUAGAUUCUUUUCCCAACCUCUCUUUUAUGCACACAUAUAGAGACAUAACCAAAUAAUAUCCUUUUGUACUGCCUCUACAAUUAGCAACUUGGAUAUUUAUGAAGCAGACAGACCAAAGAGCCUUGCAGAAAUGAGAUAUUUCAGAUACAGUGGAAUCUUGACUUAAAAGCAUCCUGACUUGAGUGUUUUGAGUUAAGAGCCAUCACUCAGCCCUCGUCUUGCUUUGACAUAAGAGCAGCAUUUUGAGUUAAGAACUAGCACCUAUUGUAGCCCAGCAAACACCACACAGUUCAUAAUAAGCAAUAAGUUUAUUAAGAAAAGAGUAUAUGAUAGAGAAGGCAGUUUCAAAAAUGAGUAGACUAUAAUCCUAAAAGUCAUUCCAAAAUCAGCAGACUAAGCAAUCACAAAGGUACAAUAAAAAACCAGACUGUAAAAACAUUUCCAGAGUUAUAGCCAUAAGCUUCAUAUUCUUGAGCAUAGCAAAUAACCAUGACCAACUCUGAAUAUGAAUCCAAAAUCCCAAAACAAGAAACCGUAAUCCAAGGGUUUCAACACUUAAAGCAAAACUAGAUCCAAAGGCUUGAAGACUUGAACAUAAUUAUAACCCUAAGGCUUGAAAACUUGAAGCAAGAAUUGUAAUCCAAUCAAGAAGCAUCAGUCUUAAACAGGAAAGCAAGAUACAUUUUGAAAGACCACAGCUCCUAACUCAGAGCUCACAAGACAGGCGAGUUUACCCACAAAAAUCCAACAUUGAUCUCCCAAUGAACAUUGUUUCAAAACACUUAAGAAUUCUAAUUCUUACACAUGACAUCACUCUUUCUCACUCCUGAGCUCCCUUUGUUUAUGUUUCAGCCUCUGAAAACAACUAAUUUGUCUCUGCUUUGCACUAUCUCUUCGUAACUGUAAUUGUUGAGUUAUAGGCAGCGCUCCUGUUUCCUUCACAUUCCUUUCAGAG